rnacentral:misc_RNA from 1 species
AAGUCGUAACAAGGUAUCCGUAGGUGAACCUGCGGAUGGAUCAUUCAUGUAUGAGAAAAUGGCCAGCAAUGGCUGUUUUUUUGUUUUGUGCAAUGUGACAUGUGUGUGAAUGUGUGUGUGUGUGCCUUUGGUUUCAUGGGCACAUGCAUCAUUCCUUUUUUUCCUACUCAUUUAUCCUAUUAAACUGAAAACAACCAAAGAACCUUGAAAACUGCCAGCAAUGGAUCCCUCGGUUCUC